rnacentral:tRNA from 1 species
GAGGGUUUAGCUCAGUGGUAGAGUGCAUGCCUAGCAUGUGUGAAGUCUUGGGUUCAGUCCCCAGCACCUCCA